GCUUUAUUUACAAAGUGUGAUCAAAUCUGAAUGAUACAAAGGAGAUUAGCGUGGCCCCUGUGCGAGGACGAUGUGCAGGUUCGUGAAACACUCCGUUAGAAA